UUAAGUGCCUGACACAAUGCUUUGACUAAAGCAAGUCAAAAUAGUAUUGAUAAGAGACGCCAUACUUGAGUGCUGAGUGUUGGACUCUACUUAGCGGCGGACGGGUGAGUAACGCGUGGGCAACCUGCCUUGCACAGGGGGAUAACACAGGGAAACUUGUGCUAAUACCGCAUAACAUCACGGGGAGGCAUCUUCCUGUGAUCAAAGGAGAAAUCCGGUGCAAGAUGGGCCCGCGUCCGAUUAGCUAGUUGGCGGUGUAACGGACCACCAAGGCGACGAUCGGUAGCCGAACUGAGAGGUUGAUCGGCCACAUUGGGACUGAGACACGGCCCAGACUCCUACGGGAGGCAGCAGUGGGGAAUAUUGCGCAAUGGAGGAAACUCUGACGCAGCAACGCCGCGUGAAGGAUGAAGGUCUUCGGAUUGUAAACUUCUUUGAUGAGGGACGAAGGAAGUGACGGUACCUCAAAAACAAGCCACGGCUAACUACGUGCCAGCAGCCGCGGUAAUACGUAGGUGGCGAGCGUUGUCCGGAAUUACUGGGUGUAAAGGGCGCGUAGGCGGGGAUGUAAGUCAGAUGUGAAAUACCAUGGCUCAACCGUGGGGCUGCAUCUGAAACUAUGUUUCUUGAGUGCUGGAGAGGAAAGCGGAAUUCCUAGUGUAGCGGUGAAAUGCGUAGAUAUUAGGAGGAACACCAGUGGCGAAGGCGGCUUUCUGGACAGUAACUGACGCUGAGGCGCGAAAGCGUGGGGAGCGAACAGGAUUAGAUACCCUGGUAGUCCACGCCGUAAACGAUGGAUACUAGGUGUAGGAGGUAUCGACCCCUUCUGUGCCGGAGUAAACACAAUAAGUAUCCCACCUGGGGAGUACGGCCGCAAGGUUGAAACUUAAAUGAAUUGACGG
rnacentral:rRNA from 1 species